rnacentral:sRNA from 1 species
UUGAACAGCCCUGGAGACUGAUGUCCUAAUUAACCUCAGAACAGGGGCACAUGGGCAUUUUCCUGCCAGUGUGACUCAGCCUAGAGGUGGAAAGUCAAUUCUCAGAUUAGAUGGCAGAUCAGAAUAAAGCCUUCUCAGACGGCAGCCAUU